CUAAUGAAAAAAACAACAACUAUAUGUCUAAAGUUCUAAUUUUAAUUAAUUUUAAGGUGUUUCCUUGUCCUUUUCUCAGCUCGAUAUUGUGCAUAAUCAUCUACUUUCAUUGUAUGGAAAAGAGGAGUUCAAAUAUUCAUCAAAACAUCUCUCUCUGAGAAAGAAAGUCAUGCAUGCAGGUUUGGAACUACACAAGGGGCCCUGAGUCCAAAGGAAAAAUUGUGCUGAGUGAUUGAGUCUCAACGCUGCUGGACCUCUCCAAGCUUCUGUGAUGCAGAACCGAAUCCUAGAGCUGUGGUUUGAACCAUAAAUCCAACCUUAUAUGGAGUCCUCUCGCCAAGAUGAGCUUCAGAUAAUGCAGCCGAUCCAUCCGCAGGGCACACAUACUCUUAGCUGCUGUGUCUUUUGGACGAGACAAAACCAGUGGCUUUGUGAAGCAGAUUAUAAGGAGACGCUUCUCUCCCUCCCGUCUGGGUGCGUGAGUGAGUCGUCUUAAGGAGUCUUGCAGCAGAUCAGUUGCUCACACACUGUGUGUUCCAGAGCAAAGCCUCACACCUGCCUUGCCAAACACAACAGAGGUCACGUCUGGACGCUCGCCUUCACUCCAUUGUGUCUCACAGAGCUGUUUUCUCUCGAUCAUAUACAUUAACUUUAGCUGCUUUACAGUUAUCUUUUAGCAUUUUUGUAUUUCUACUGCAAUGUCCAGUUCAUUUUGCGUAACAUUUUUUGCAUAAAUUUAUUAAGGUCUACUUAAGGACCAUUAAGAUUUUUUUAUUUUGUAUUUUUUUGCAUUGAAACUAAGUUAAGUAGAAUAUCCUCAAAACUCAUUACUGUAAUGCAUCCCCAUGUUUUUACUUUCGACCAUUACAUUGUAGUUUGAUUAUUUUUUGUAGUUAUAAUAAAUAUAACUCAUUA